rnacentral:rRNA from 1 species
AUGUACAUUCCUACAACAUAGCGUUAAUUCACUGAAUCCCAUUAGAACUCCGCAGGUAAGCACAUCGGGAUAGAGUAAUACUAGGACGGGUGACUGCAAGGGAAGUCCUAGUGUUUUACAUG